CGUGACCGCAUUUCCCCGCCCUCUCACCCCGCUGCCUCUGGGUUCUAGGAAGAUGGCGAAGGUCUCAGAGCUUUACGAUGUCACUUGGGAAGAAAUGCGAGAUAAAAUGAGAAAAUGGAGAGAAGAAAACUCACGCAAUAGUGAGCAAAUUGUAGAAGUGGGGGAAGAAUUAAUUAAUGAAUAUGCAUCUAAACUUGGAGAUGAUAUUUGGAUCAUAUAUGAACAGGUGAUGAUUGCAGCCUUAGACUAUGGUCGGGAUGAUUUGGCAUUGUUUUGUCUUCAGGAGUUAAGAAGACAGUUCCCUGGAAGUCACAGAGUCAAGCGAUUAACAGGCAUGAGAUUUGAAGCCAUGGAAAGGUAUGAUGAUGCUAUACAGUUAUAUGAUCGAAUUUUACAAGAAGAUCCAACUAACACUGCUGCAAGAAAGCGUAAGAUUGCCAUUCGAAAAGCCCAGGGGAAAAAUGUGGAGGCCAUUCGGGAACUGAAUGAGUAUCUGGAACAAUUUGUUGGAGACCAGGAAGCCUGGCAUGAACUUGCAGAACUUUAUAUCAAUGAACAUGACUAUGCAAAAGCUGCCUUUUGUUUAGAGGAACUAAUGAUGACUAAUCCACACAACCAUUUAUACUGUCAGCAGUAUGCUGAAGUUAAAUAUACUCAAGGUGGACUUGAAAACCUCGAACUUUCAAGAAAGUAUUUUGCACAGGCAUUGAAACUGAAUAACAGAAAUAUGAGAGCUUUGUUUGGCCUUUACAUGUCAGCAAGUCAUAUUGCUUCUAAUCCGAAAGCAAGUGCAAAAACGAAAAAGGACAACAUGAAAUAUGCUAGUUGGGCAGCUAGUCAAAUAAACAGAGCUUAUCAGUUUGCAGGUCGAAGUAAGAAGGAAACCAUAUACUCUCUUAAGGCAGUUGAAGACAUGUUGGAAACAUUGCAGAUCACCCAGUCUUAAGAUAGCCUCUUGUUUGGGGCUGGAAUUUUGUUCUCCCAGAAUUCUUAUGUUGAAGUCCUAACCCCAGCACCUAAGAAUGUCAUCAGAUAGAGUCACUGAAGAGUCUCUUCCAGAAAAUACAACAGGAAGGAAUCACCUUCAUCUUGUAUGAGAACACCAUUACCCUGAUACCAAAAUUAGAAAACAAGAAAAAGACAUUACGAGAAAAAAGACCCUCAGGCCAAUACUUUGAUGAGCUUAAACACAAAAUCUUAGCAAAUUACAUAUAUAUGAAGAAUAAUACAAUGUGACCAUGUUAAAUUUAUUCCAGAAGUGCAAGGUUGAUUCAGUAUUUGAAAAUCAGUUAAGUAAUCCAUCAUACCAAGAAAAUGAAAAAAUAAAUAGUCUGAUAGCAGUUGAUACAAAAAGAAUAUUUGACAGAAUUUACCUGAUUUUCCAACAAAAUCUCAAAAGAAGCUUCUUCAGUUUAGAGAA